AGUGAACGCUGGCGGUAGGCCUAACACAUGCAAGUCGAACGGCAGCACAGUAAGAGCUUGCUCUUACGGGUGGCGAGUGGCGGACGGGCGCGGAAUACAUCGGAAUCUACUUUUUCGUGGGGGAUAACGUAGGGAAACUUACGCUAAUACCGCAUACGACCUACGGGUGAAAGCAGGGGAUCUUCGGACCUUGCGCGAUUGAAUGAGCCGAUGUCGGAUUAGCUAGUUGGCGGGGUAAAGGCCCACCAAGGCGACGAUCCGUAGCUGGUCUGAGAGGAUGAUCAGCCACACUGGAACUGAGACACGGUCCAGACUCCUACGGGAGGCAGCAGUGGGGAAUAUUAGACGAUGGGCGCAAGCCUGAUCCAGCCAUACCGCGUGGGUGAAGAAGGCCUUCGGGUUGUAAAGCCCUUUUGUUGGGAAAGAAAAGCAGCAGGUUAAUACCCCGCUGUUAUGACGGUACCCAAAGAAUAAGCACCGGCUAACUUCGUG
rnacentral:rRNA from 1 species